GUGGGGAAUAUUGGACAAUGGGCGCAAGCCUGAUCCAGCAAUGCCGCGUGGGUGAAGAAGGUCUUCGGAUCGUAAAGCCCUUUCGGCGGGGACGAUGAUGACGGUACCCGCAGAAGAAGCCCCGGCUAACUUCGUGCCAGCAGCCGCGGUAAUACGAAGGGGGCUAGCGUUACUCGGAAUUACUGGGCGUAAAGGGCGCGUAGGCGGCGCUGCAAGUUAGGCGUGAAAGCCCUGGGCUCAACCUGGGGACUGCGCUUAAGACUGUGGUGCUUGAGGAUGGAAGAGGCUCGUGGAAUUCCCAGUGUAGAGGUGAAAUUCGUAGAUAUUGGGAAGAACACCGGUGGCGAAGGCGGCGAGCUGGUCCAUUACUGACGCUGAGGCGCGAUAGCGUGGGGAGCAAACAGGAUUAGAUACCCCUGUAGUCC
rnacentral:rRNA from 1 species